UUCUUCGUCUUCACAAUACAGGAGGUUAAGUUUCUUCUUCUUUCUUCUUGCAGGGUUUCUUCAUGGAUCUGCAUGUGGAAGGAUGAGAAUGGAAUCAUUUGGUGAGUUCUCUUUUGCUUUUUUCCUGAAGAUUCUAGGCUUCUUAGCAGACAAAGGAUACAGGAGGUUUUCCUUCCUUCCUGUUUCAUCAUCUUCUUCUUACUGGAAGGUUUUGUUGUUGGUAACAUGGAUCUACACAAAUGCAUAUAGAUGUGAUCAUUAUGUGAUUUUUUUUGGUGAUGAUAUGAUUGAUUACUAUGGUGACUAAGAUUGUGGUUUUGUUGCUGAUCUUAUAUACAUACAUGUCUGACUCUAUAUGAAAAAGGUGGUAGAUAAAUUACUUCAGAACUUAUACUAGGAAUUUCUUAAUCCUUAAAAAGAAUACAACAUGACCCAGGUCUAAUGACAAUAUGUAACAUCAAGAUAGAUUAAGAAAAACAUAGAUCCAGCUUAAGUAAAGGGAAACAAGUAAUGGAUGCAGCAUGAAGAUGUUCUAAUUUGUGAUCUUCUACUGAUUUUUCCCUUGUUAUUAGUAUUUAGUAAAUAUCCAGCAGUGAUUGUGUAUCCACAAAACAAACUAAGCCCAAAUGCAGUCACACACUAGGCUAUCUUGCUUUCAAGUAGAGAUAGAAUGUUCACUUUUUAGUGCAUCCCUGCACAAUGGCAAACAGAAGAUAGCAUUCACACGCAGGCUAUCUUGCUUCAAGUAGUGAAUGAUGCACAGAAUGUUCAUAUUUUAGUUAUGUCCUCACCGAUCUCCACAAAAUCUCUAUUGAAGAGUCUUACGGAAAAUUUGCAUAUAUGAACACACAAAAGCUUUGUACUGAGUAGAAAUGUUCUAGGCUGUUUUGUAAGCUUCUGCGUUUGAAAUUGAGAUUGGUUUUUGGCUCAUCUAGUUGUAAGGUGAUGGUGGGAUGGCAGCUUUAGUAAGGAAUUGUAGUUUAAUCAAAAUUAAGGAGAUUUUUUUAAGUUACAAUAGAUUGAGUAUGGUAUUCGGCUCAUCUAUACUAUUGAACAGGAAGUUGCACUGAAAAAUACAUUAUGUUCUGCAUGAUGUAUUAUGCAUUAGUGUGGUCUUUUGAUAUUCGAUUAGACAGAGAUUUGGUGUAUGCUAUCACAUCAGAAGCCUCAAAACUGUAUCUUAAUAUCUAGUAUGUUUUCACUUGAAUGCUAAUUAUCUUCUUAGUGUUUAUUGCUCAUUUGGUUGAUUCCUAAUUGCAGUAUAUCAUAUUAUGCUUAUGUGUAAACGCUAAAGGUCAACGAGUGGGAAAAAGUUGUUGACCUUCUGGUUACGUAAACCAACUUGUGUUGACCUUUAACUAGGUCAUCUGAUCUGUAACUAGGUCAUUUAAAGAGACAGUUAUAGCUCAGAUGACCUAGUUAGCCUUGAAAUUUUAGUCACACAUUUCUCUUUAAAUUUAUUAUGGUACAUUACUCGUUGCAGUUGAAGUUUGUUAUCUUGUGUUGGACUUGUCUACGACAAUUGAAACCCGUACACACAUUUUUUCGUUCCCUCUUUUUUCCCUAUAAUGAUGAAGACCAUAAGUUAAAUUAAUGGGAUGAGUUUUCUGGGAAUAGAAACAAGGCAGUUUUACGAGCAUAUGCCUGGAUAGUGUCGUAAUGUGCUUUUGAUGACAUGAUCUUUACCAUAGUAAACAUGUUCCUCCUAGGUUACUUGAUGUUCUGACCCUCUUUGCUUGGAUUGCAACUGAAAAAAUAACACCGCCAUCAACAAAUUCGAAGCACUGAAUUUCAUGUCUGUUUAACUUUCUAUUCAUCAGUACUUUCUCUAUUUCUUAUGUUCUCAUAUGGUAGUGAUAUGGUAAUGGAGUAACUAUUUGUUACACAUGGAAGGGACAUGGCUAAUCACAAGAUUGCAUCUAAUCUUUAUCCAGUGAAGCAAGGCUAACGUAUUAGCCAGCAUAGCGAUUUUGGUCGGUUCUUGUACUUUUUAGUAUUUAUUAAAAAUGUUGUGAUUCACAGGGAUACUUUGCUUAUACCUCGUAUUUAUGGUAAGGAUUACUACAACUGGGACUAUGGUUGAACUUCUCUUCUUCUUCGCUUGUUUUCUAUUUUCUGUAUGCAUGCUUACAUUCUCUUUUGCAUCUUCAUCAUCUGGAGAUAACGAAACCUGGGACUAACUUAAGUUUUGAAGUACAUCCAAUUAGUGAUUCUUCUUUGAUAACUGUUUGUUUUGUGCAUGUAAAGUUUAAAUUCUUACAAUAAACAUGUGUUUUUAUCAAAACGAAUAGACAAUCCUUUGUUUCAUUACAUGAGAUAACUAUCGCAGUGGGUUUCCUUUUCUCUUUCAUCAAAAGUGUUAGGAUCAACAUGGCUUGCUCAUGCCAUCCUUAGACUCUAGGGUUAUAGUUUUCAGACACGAUAGGCCCCCUGCUAGCAUGCGAGCAAGACGCGUGCAAGUGGCGUGGUGCCUAUAUCACGGUUGUUUUUUCACAGUUUAAUGUAUAUACAGCUUAAUUGACUCACUGGAAACAACCAUGAUGGGCGCCACACCACUUGCACACGUUUUGCUCGCGUGCUGGCGUGUAGCCUGUCGUAUUAGAACUAAAAUCCUAGAUAAUGGGGAUUCCAGAACCUGUUUGGGUGAAAUGCGAGAUCCUUGACUUCAGAUCUCGCCACAUCCAAAUUGGUGAGUAACUCGUGUGAAUUCUAACAUAUUUGUAAUGGAUAUCUCUCGAUGGAUAAAAAUUUCCCUUGUGCUUCAGAUUUUAUUUUAUAGAUAAUGAUUACAUAAAUUGGAACUCCCCAUUUGCAUGGUUUUGAUAGAGAAGAUAGAGUGUCUUCAAUUCUACCAAACAGCGGUAAGAAAACGCAUGUUUCAUUGGAGAAUGUUGGAUUUUCUUUAUCUUGAUGAAAUGAUGUAAAUUGAUAGCUGCCUUUUUGAAGCGAGGAUGUACUAUCAAUCACCACCAUCCUGUUUGUAUGAACUCUAAACGCAAUGUUGUUGUAUUCCACAAGUAGUACAUGUUCCUAUUACUAUCAUUACAGACUGCAUUCACCAACUAGAUUAAUUAAGUCAGUGAUACCUGUUCGGUUUUACCAGAUCCUUCAGCAUUGCCAUUGCCAGCCAGCCUCAUACCAACAUCAUUCAUAUAAAUGACCUACUUUAUCUUUCAUUUUGAUUAUCCGUCUUGACUGAGGUUGUGACUUGGAUAGAGUAGAUAAUUUGGGAAGCAGAAAACCUGAAGAAGAAAAAGAUUUAGGUUCCACUUUAAGGACGCCAAGUGAAACAAGAAAAAAAGUGAAAAAGACAGAAAACAGAGAAGAAACAGUACAGCUAAACCAAAACUUUAUUGCUUUGUCAUUAUUAUGAUUCCUUGUUGUACUUGCUGUUUUCCAGUCUUAGAAAAAACUGCCAAACACGGUACAGUUGAGCUGAAAGAUGUCUGUCAAGAUUAAAAGAGUUUUGGCUUUAAAUUUAGGUAAAGCAUGCUAGGUUUUCUUCUAACUCAUGAUCAUUCUCUUGAAUGAGAUCUAUUUGCUUUCUUUAGUUUCUUCUAUAUUUACUAAAGAAAUAUUCUACUCUUUCAUUUUGUAGUUCUGAAUCUUUUGGUUCAUAUUAGUUUUUUUUUUCUUUUGUUCCUACUUUCUUUUUUGUUUUCUUGAUUAAAGUUUACUGUUGGGUGCAAUUCCUAUAGUUCGCUUGCAGCAUAUUUAGGGAUUACUGACCAAGUUUUCUCAGUAAUUUUUUCGCUGGUUCAUGUGUUUGUAAGGUUUUCUAGAUCAUUCUAACUCGAUGGAUUUUUGUGGAUUGAAGUUUCGCUUGACGGAAGAGAGAGGUCACUCUUGUUGACAUUCUUGAAAGGGACAUGAUUGUGUUCAAGAGUGCCCUCUCUCUAUCUGUCAUACUUCUUUGCGAUCGACAAGCAUGCAAUCCUUUUAUAUGCAGGUGUUUGCUUAUGCUUUCGACCUGUUCUUGCUGGGUCCAAGCUCCAACUUCACAAGGUGAUUUGCCUCGUUAACAAAGACACAGAAGAGGAGACUAUAGACACAGAAGUUUUGCAGGGCUGAGGAGAGAGGUCAGUCUAGUCGACAUUCAUGAAAGGGACAUGAGGCAUAUCAUUAUAUAUGGAGGUCUGCGUUUGACAUGUUCUGCAUCCAAGCCACAACUUCACAAGGUAGCUCCCAGAACAAAUAUACAAAAGUGCCAAAGACUAGGCGACACUAAAGGAUCUCCAAAAGAGGUUCAUCUGAAGAUGGCUGGUUGUAGAGCUCUGUUUUUACCAGAAACACCACUUCAUCCACAUUCAUCAAAGAGCCCUCAAUGCUUAUCUUAUUGCACUCCUUUCUAAUCUGCAGCAAAACGGGAAGCAAUAGUCUGCAGCCACUCCUGAUGACACACACACACACCCCAAAUGGUUGAUAGUGAAAAUCUUGUUAUGCUUAGAUCUUUUUCAGUUAUUCCGUUAAUAUCAAAAAGCAUUUUGGUUGAACCAAUAAACUUGUCUCGUGUAUAUUUUAAAACUUCA